GAUGAACGCUGGCGGCGUGCCUAAUACAUGCAAGUCGAGCGAACGGACGAGAAGCUUGCUUCUCUGAUGUUAGCGGCGGACGGGUGAGUAACACGUGGAUAACCUACCUAUAAGACUGGGAUAACUUCGGGAAACCGGAGCUAAUACCGGAUAAUAUUUUGAACCGCAUGGUUCAAAAGUGAAAGACGGUCUUGCUGUCACUUAUAGAUGGAUCCGCGCUGCAUGAGCUAGUUGGUAAGGUAACGGCUUACCAAGGCAACGAUGCAUAGCCGACCUGAGGGGGGGUACGGCGCCUCUGGAGCUGAGACACGGUCCAGGCUCCUACGGGAGGCAGCAGUAGGGAAUCUUCCGCGAUGGGCGAAAGCCUGACGGAGCAACGCCGCGUGAGUGAUGAAGGUCUUCGGGUCGUAAAACUCUGUUCUUAGGGAAGAACAUAUGUGUAAGUAACUGUGCACAUCUUGACGGUACCUAAUCAGAAAGCCACGGCUAACUACGU
rnacentral:rRNA from 1 species